rnacentral:rRNA from 1 species
GAUGAACGCUGACAGAAUGCUUAACACAUGCAAGUCAACUUGAACUUCGGUUUGGGUGGCGGACGGGUGAGUAACGCGUAAAGAACUUGCCUCACAGCUAGGGACAACAUUUGGAAACGAAUGCUAAUACCUGAUAUUAUGAUUAUAUGGCAUCGUAUAAUUAUGAAAGCUAUAUGCGCUGUGAGAGAGCUUUGCGUCCCAUUAGCUAGUUGGAGAGGUAACAGCUCACCAAGGCGAUGAUGGGUAGCCGGCCUGGGAGGGUGAUCGGCCACAAGGGGACUGAGACACGGCCCUUACUCCUACGGGAGGCAGCAGUGGGGAAUAUUGGACAAUGGACCGAGAGUCUGAUCCAGCAAUUCUGUGUGCACGAUGAAGUUUUUCGGAAUGUAAAGUGCUUUCAGUUGGGAAGAAAAAAAUGACGGUACCAACAGAAGAAGUGACGGCUAAAUACGUG